AACGAACGCUGGCGGCAUGCUUAACACAUGCAAGUCGAACGCUUGUUGAGACGUCGGUUUCAAUUAAGAGUGGCAGACGGGUGAGUAACGCGUGGGAACGUACCCUAAAGUUUCGAAUGACCACUGGAAACGGUGGCUAAUACGGGAUGUGCACGAGAGUGUAAAGGAGCCAUUCGCUUUAGGAGCGGCCCGCGCUAGAUUAGGUGGUUGGUGGGGUAAGGGCCUACCAAGCCACUGAUCUAAAGCUGGGCCGAGAGGAUGAACAGCCACACUGGGACGGGGACACGGCCCAGACUCCUACGGGGGGCAGCAGUGGGGAAUAUUGGACAAUGGGGCAACCCUGAUCCAGCGAUGCCGCGUGAGUGAAGAAGGCCUUCGGGUUGUAAAGCUCUUUUGUUAGUGACGAUAAUGACGGUAACUAACGAAUAAGCCCCGGCUAACUUCGUGCCAGCCGCCGCGGUAA
rnacentral:rRNA from 1 species